UACAGAGGGUGCAAGCGUUAAUCGGAAUUACUGGGCGUAAAGCGCACGUAGGCGGCUUUUCAAGUCAGGGGUGAAAUCCCGGGGCUCAACCUCGGAACUGCCCUUGAAACUGGAAAGCUAGAAUCCUGGAGAGGCGAGUGGAAUUCCGAGUGUAGAGGUGAAAUUCGUAGAUAUUCGGAAGAACACCAGUGGCGAAGGCGACUCGCUGGACAGGUAUUGACGCUGAGGUGCGAAAGCGUGGGGAGCAAACAGGAUUAGAUACCCCAGUAGU
rnacentral:rRNA from 1 species